rnacentral:lncRNA from 1 species
AAUUGAUUUCGAAGCGUUUGGUUGUGUUUACAUCUUGGUGUUGCAACAUGAAGGAGAAGAUGAACAAUGUUGUUCAUGUAAAAUAUAUAUGUCUAAACAUGUUGUCCUUUUUUCUUUUUUUUUUUCUUUUUUAGUUUCGUUUUCCUUCUUAUAUUAUUCCAUUCCUAUUAUUGACAUGAUGAAGUCAGUGGUUGAGUUGGUUGAGACUCCAGUCUCCCAACUCCCCUGACUCAGGUUCAAU